GGCUGUUCUCAAGUGAUUUUCCCACCUAACUUUCCAUGCCAAGAUGACAAAACCCAUCCAGAGACCUUUCAGGAUCUUCGCUGCAGUUGCACAGCUCUAGGUAUAGAGAAUAUGGCAGAGCUCGACUCCUGAGGACAAUAAACAUUGGGAAGAGGAGUACAUUGAUACUUUACACUCUCCAUCCCAAGACCGUGAGGAUCAUUUGCUCCAGCCCAGUGAACCAGAUUACCCCAACUGAGAAUCUGGCUCGAUAUGUCUUGCCUCUUAAGUGAAGAACACACUUCUAGACCCAUGAGCCAAGUCAUCCAAUGAUCUCAAAGCACUUUGCAAGCACCACAGUAUCUC